rnacentral:rRNA from 1 species
AGAGUUUGAUCCUGGCUCAGAUUGAACGCUGGCGGCGUGCUUAACACAUGCAAGUCGAGCGGUAGCAGGCGUAGCAAUACGUGCUGACGAGCGGCGAACGGGUGAGUAAUGCUUCGGAAUCUUCCUAGUAGUGGGGAACAACCUGGGGAAACUCAGGCUAAUACCGCAUACGACCUACGGGUGAAAGCAGGGGAUCGCAAGACCUUGCGCUAUUGGAUGAGCCGAAGUCGGAUUAGCUAGUUGGUGAGGUAACGGCUCACCAAGGCGACGAUCCGUAGCUGGUCUGAGAGGACGACCAGCCACACUGGGACUGAGACACGGCCUAGACUCCUACGGGAGGCAGCAGUGGGGAAUAUUGGACAAUGGGGGAAACCCUGAUCCAGCGACGCCGCGUGUGUGAAGAAGGCCUGCGGGUUGUAAAGCACUUUUAGUGGGGAUAAAAAGCGCAAGGCUAAUAAACUUGCGUCUUGAUCUAACCCAAAGAAAAAGCACCGGCUAACUCUGUGCCAGCAGCCGCGGUAAUACAGAGGGUGCAAGCGUUAAUCGGAAUUACUGGGCGUAAAGCGUGCGUAGGCGGCCCGCCAAGUCAGAUGUGAAAGCCCCGGGCUCAACCUGGGAACGGCAUUUGAAACUGGCAGGCUCGAGUUGGGUAGAGGCAGGCGGAAUUCCGGGUGUAGCGGUGAAAUGCGUAGAUAUCCGGAGGAACACCAGUGGCGAAGGCGGCCUGCUGGGCCCAAACUGACGCUGAGGCACGAAAGCGUGGGUAGCAAACAGGAUUAGAUACCCUGGUAGUCCACGCCGUAAACGAUGUCGACUAGCCGCUGGGCCCUUUUGGGGCUUCGUGGCGCAGCUAACGCAUUAAGUCGACCGCCUGGGGAGUACGGCCGCAAGGUUAAAACUCAAAUGAAUUGACGGGGGCCCGCACAAGCGGUGGAGCAUGUGGUUUAAUUCGAUGCAACGCGAAGAACCUUACCUGCCCUUGACAUCCUGGGAACUUGCCGGAGACGGCUUGGUGCCUUCGGGAACCCAGAGACAGGUGCUGCAUGGCUGUCGUCAGCUCGUGUCGUGAGAUGUUGGGUUAAGUCCCGUAACGAGCGCAACCCUUGCCCCCAGUUGCCAGCGCGUCAUGGCGGGGACUCUGGGGGGACUGCCGGUGAUAAACCGGAGGAAGGUGGGGAUGACGUCAAGUCAGCAUGGCCUUUAUGUCCAGGGCUACACACGUGCUACAAUGGUCGGUACAAAGCGUCGCAAGCCCGCGAGGGUGAGCUAAUCGCAGAAAGCCGGUCUCAGUUCGGAUUGUAGGCUGCAACUCGCCUGCAUGAAGUUGGAAUCGCUAGUAAUCGCGGAUCAGCAUGCCGCGGUGAAUACGUUCCCGGGCCUUGUACACACCGCCCGUCACACCAUGGGAGUUGGUCUUACCCUAAAACGGUGCGCUAACCGCAAGGAGGCAGCCGGCCACGGUAAGGUCAGCGACUGGGGUGAAGUCGUAACAAGGUAACCGUA